UCAAAGGCUGCGCUAGCCAUCCGGACUCGGACGGGUACCCCAUUUCUCACCCUGGAUUUUAUUGGGCAUGACCUGCCUGCUCUCCUUCUGAUUGGCUAGUAGUCGUUACCUUUGUCGGGAUUGUUGGAAAUGAGUCUGGAUAAACCAUAGACAGUUAAAGAAAGGCUAAACAGGAGGUAUCGUUUUUAGAUCAGUCUGAAAAAGAGUUAAAAUAAGAAUGUCAGGGUAAGCCAAUCAGAGGCAGAAUAAGGUAGAGUAGGGCGGGACAUGCCUAACAUACUAAAAAUACUCGCAUCCAAAUAUCCAAAUAAGCGAUAUCGUACGAACUUCGAAGCAGCACGGCAGCUAGGGCUGAUGCCCAUGUUCAUCAAAAGGUGGAAUCUCACCUGAAAAUAUAUUGUUUGUUUUUGGCCAUACAGGUGUACUACUACAAUACUGUUUGACUACAUACCCAGGGAGCUGUACUGGUUGUCAAUUUCUGCUCCUGGUGCCAUAUGACAGCAAUGAGUAGACUCUGAGCUUCUUCCUUGUCCACCUGCAAGACUUCUCCAGUGGCCUCUUAGAGAUCCCCCCUAAGGUAUACAACAACUCUUCUUAGUUCUGACAUCCUUCUGUAUCAUUACCUGCUAAAUAGAAGCCAGGUAAGUGACCGCAUGUACUGAAAAUCUAACCAGGCAUUAC